ACAAAGCCAAAACAAUUCUUUUCUUGCUUAUAACUUCUGACUUGAACACCAUUAGGUUUGAUAGGCCCAAAUUUCUCAAAAGUCUCUAUAAGCUGUUCGACAGUUGCACUCAUUGGCAAAUUGGCAACAAAAAUGGAGUAACCCUUAACUGAAUUAAUGUUGUUUUUUUCCACAGGUUUGUUAUUAGCCGGGCGUGGGGAUGCUUCAGGCACAACAAUUGCAGGUGAUUGUUCAACAGGUUUGGCAGGUAAAAUCCUCUGUUGAAAUGGUUGCUUUUUAUAAUUCAAUUCAUUUGCUACUGAUGCAUAUGACUUCUUAGGAAGAUUCUCCUGUGCAUCAGAAACAAUUGCCUCAGAAACAAUUGCUUCAGAAACUGAACGAGCAUCACUAUGGACCGUAUCAGAUGAAACUGGGGGCACAUCAUUCUGACUUGUACCAACUGAUGGACUAGAAACAACUUCAUCAACAUUAGAAAUCUUUCCAUCGUCUGAUGGAUGACUAGUUUCCUCAUCUUGAACAGUAUCUUCCUCCAACGGAGGAGUAUGAUCCACCACAGAGUGAUUGGAAACCAUAGUUGGCUCAGGAUCUGGUGUGAUGGGAGCAGCUGGAGCAGCUUCAUCAGCAUCAUUGAUUUUAAUGGGCACUACUGCCUCAUCAUCCACAUACCUAAAAACAUCAUUUAAAACAAAAUAGGCACGACUGUCUUGUGGGGCCAAAAAGAAUAAUUGUGUAAAUUUUCGUCUGAUGUUGUCCUUCCCAGUAAAGAAACCAGUCACCAAAACAAU
rnacentral:misc_RNA from 1 species